UACGGAGGAUCCGAGCGUUAAUCGGAAUUACUGGGCGUAAAGCGCACGCAGGCGGUUGAUUAAGUUAGAUGUGAAAUCCCCGGGCUUAACCUGGGAACUGCAUUUAAAACUGGUCAGCUAGAGUCUUGUAGAGGGGGGUAGAAUUCCACGUGUAGCGGUGAAAUGCGUAGAGAUGUGGAGGAAUACCGAAGGCGAAGGCAGCCCCUUGGGAAUGUACUGACGCUCAUGUGCGAAAGCGUGGGGAGCAAACAGG
rnacentral:rRNA from 1 species